UUUUCUUGGUUAGGCCACGUGCUUCUGUCUUUCAUUUGCGUUGAAAACUUUGUGGAAAGAUGGCACGUUGACUUGAAAGAGCUCGUGGACAGCCAAAACAAGAUGGCGACAUGUCAGGCAAGCUUCCAUUUUAUUGGAUAUGAAAUGCACAGACAGUUGCGGACAUGAUUUUAUGACCUAAGUGAGGUUAUAUUGAAGACCAAUAAGUUUACUUGGCUUGAUGCAAGGUAAAUAUCCAAAGCUUUUAAAUCCACGUGUUUUAUAUUUAUACAAAAAUUCAACAAAAUGAUGAUUAUUUCAAUUACCUUUUGCGGUUUCCACCAGAAAGCAUUUGCUUAAAGAUGGCCUUAGGCGUCUGAUUCAAUCCUUUUAUAUCAAUAUUGUAUUUAUGUAGACAUUACCAUUCUAAUGCCAAUCUUUGUUUUUUUA